ACGAACGCUGGCGGCAGGCCUAACACAUGCAAGUCGAGCGCAAUCCUUCGGGAUCGAGCGGCGGACGGGUUAGUAACGCGUGGGAAUGUACCCUUCUCUACGGAAUAGCCUCGGGAAACUGAGAGUAAUACCGUAUACGCCCUUUUGGGGAAAGAUUUAUCGGAGAAGGAUCAGCCCGCGUAAGAUUAGAUAGUUGGUGGGGUAAUGGCCUACCAAGUCUACGAUCUUUAGCUGGUUUUAGAGGAUGAUCAGCAACACUGGGACUGAGACACGGCCCAGACUCCUACGGGAGGCAGCAGUGGGGAAUCUUGGACAAUGGGCGCAAGCCUGAUCCAGCCAUGCCGCGUGUGUGAUGAAGGCCUUAGGGUCGUAAAGCACUUUCGCUAGGGAUGAUAAUGACAGUACCUAGUAAAGAAGUCCCGGCUAACUCCGUGCCAGCAGCCGCGGUAAUACGGAGGGGACUAGCGUUGUUCGGAAUUCCACUCACCUCUCCGUACGUAGGCGGAUCAGAAAGUAUGGGGUGUAAUCCCAGGCCUCAACCCUGGAACUGCCUCAUAAACUCCUGGUCUAGAGUUCGAGAGAGGGGAGUGGAAUUCCGAGAGAUGUGAAAGUUGUAGAUAUUCGGAGGAACACCAGUGGCGAAGGCGGCUCACUGGCUCGAUACUGACGCUGAGGUACGAAAGUGUGGGGAGCAAACAGGAUUAGAUACCCUGUAGUCCACACGUAAACGAUGAAUGCCAGUCGUCGGGCAGUAUACUGUUCGGUGACAAGCUAACGCAUUAAGCACUCCGCCUGGGGACUACGGCCGCAAGGCUAAAACUCAAAGGAAUUGACGGGGGCCCGCACAAGCGGUGGAGCAUGUGGUUUAAUUCGAAGCAACGCGAAGAACCUUACCGGCUCUUGACAUGUCGAUCGCGGAUUUCAGAGAUGAGAUCCUUCAGUUAGGCUGGAUCGAACACAGGUGCUGCACGGCUGUCGUCAGCUCGUGUCGUGAGAUGUUGGGUUAAGUCCCGCAACGAGCGCAACCCUCAUUUUCAGUUGCCAUCAGUUAGGCUGGGCACUCUGGAGAAACUGCCGGUGACAAGCCGGAGGAAGGUGGGGACGACGUCAAGUCAUCAUGGCCCUUACGGGCCGGGCUACACACGUGCUACAAUGGCGAUUACAGAGGGCAGCCAGCCUGCGAAGGUGAGCAAAUCCCAAAAAAUCGUCUCAGUUCGGAUUGUACUCUGCAACUCGAGUGCAUGAAGUUGGAAUCGCUAGUAAUCGUAGAUCAGCAUGCUACGGUGAAUACGUUCCCGGGCCUUGUACACACCGCCCGUCAC
rnacentral:rRNA from 1 species